GACGAACGCUGGCGGCGUGCUUAACACAUGCAAGUCGAACGGAAAGGCCCUGCUUUUGUGGGGUGCUCGAGUGGCGAACGGGUGAGUAACACGUGAGUAACCUGCCCUUGACUUUGGGAUAACUUCAGGAAGCUGGGGCUAAUACCGGAUAGGAGCUCCUGCUGCAUGGUGGGGGUUGGAAAGUUUCGGCGGUUGGGGAUGGACUCGCGGCUUAUCAGCUUGUUGGGUGGGUAGUGGCUUACCAAGGCUUUGACGGGUAGCCGGCCUGAGGGGGUGACCGGCCACAUUGGGACUGAGAUACGGCCCAGACUCCUACGGGAGGCAGCAGUGGGGAAUAUUGCACAAUGGGCGGAAGCCUGAUGCAGCAACGCCGCGUGCGGGAUGACGGCCUUCGGGUUGUAAACCGCUUUCGCCUGUGACGAAGCGUGAGUGACGGUAAUGGGUAAAGAAGCACCGGCUAACUACGUG
rnacentral:rRNA from 1 species